GUAUGUAUUGCAUUAGGGGGGCACGAUUCAGAAAAUAUCGCGAUUCAAUAUCGAUUUUUAGGCUCAAGAUUCAAUUCAAAAAUCGAUUUUUGAUACAAAAACGAUUCUCAAUUUAAAAA